AUCUAGCUAACGAGUCCCAAAUAGGAUGAAACGCUCGUCAAACUGGAU
rnacentral:hammerhead_ribozyme from 1 species